rnacentral:rRNA from 1 species
GCCAUUAGUCAUAGGCUUGCCUAAAAGACAAACCCCUUUAGGUCUAAGUAUAAAUGUUAUACAGUGAAACGGCAAAGGGCUCAUAAAAACAGUUAUAGUUUAUUUGAUAACCAACCUUACAUGAAUAACGGUGGUAAUUCUAAAGCUAAUACAGGCUGUUAAGCCUGACUUUCAGGAAGGGCUGGAUUUAUUAAAUAAAAAACAAAUAUUCCUUGUGUCAAUUGUAAGAACCCAGAAAAACCGAUCCAAUCCCAUGGACUUUGUCCGGGACACAAAAUUCAAUUUUCUGCCCCAUAACCUUUCCAGGGUAUUGUAUCGGACAUCACGGGCUCCAACGGGUAACGAAGGAAUAGGGUUUUAUUCCGGAAAGGGAGCCGGACAACCGGCACCCACGUCUAAGGACGGGAGCAGGCGCGAAAAUUACCCAAGCCUGACUCGGGAGGGUAGUGACAAAAAAAAACGGACCGAACCACUUGUUCCGGGAUUGCAUUGACUAAAAUUACAACCCCCUUUACAAGGAUCAGUGGAAGGGCAAGUCGGGU